rnacentral:rRNA from 1 species
AAUGCGGGACUCUAAGAGGCCCCGUAAUUGGAAUGAGUACACCUUAAAUCGUUUAACGAGUAUCAAUUGGAGGGCAAGUCUGGUGCCAGCAGCCGCGGUAAUUCCAGCUCCAAUAGCGUAUAUUAAAGUUGCUGCAGUUGAAAAGCUCGCAGUUGGAUCUGGGGCUUGAGGUCGCUGUCUAUCGUUUCGGCGAUGACGGUGAUGCUCAGCUCUGCUUGCCGGUGACUGUUGCGGUGUUCUUCACUGAGCGCUGUAGCAGCACGGCCCGUUUACUUUGAAAAAAUUAGAGUGCUCAAAGCGUGCUUGUCGCUUGAAUAAUGUUGCAUGGAAUAAUGGAAUAGGACCUCGGUUCUAUUUUGUUGUUUUCGGAGCUUGAAGUAAUGAUUAAGAGGGACGAACGGGGGCAUUCGUAUUGCGGUGUUAGAGGUGAAAUUCUUGGAUCGCCGCAAGACGGACUACUGCGAAAGCAUUUGCCAAGAACGCUUUCAUUAAUUAAGAACGAAAGUCAGAGGUUCGAAGACGAUCAGACACCGUCCUAGUUCUGACCAUAAACGAUGCCGACCAGCGAUCCGUAGUGGUUGCUUUAUGGACCCUACGGGCAGCCUCCGGGAAACCAAAGUAUUUGGGUUCCGGGGGAAGUAUGGUUGCAGAGCUGAAACUUAAAGGGAUUGACGGAAGGGCACACCAGGAGUGGAGCCUGCGGCUUAAUUUGACCCAACACGGGAAAACUCACCCGGUCCGGACACCGUAAGGAUUGACAGACUGAUAGCUCUUUCUUGAUUCGGUGGAUGGUGGUGCAUGGCCGUUCUUAGUUGGUGGAGUGAUUUGUCUGGUUAAUUCCGAUAACGAACGAGACUCUAGCCUGCUAAGUAGUGUUGCUAUUGUUAUAUGGUUGACACUUCUUAGAGGGACAAGUGGCAUUUAGCCACGCGAAAUUGAGCAAUAACAGGUCUGUGAUGCCCUUAGAUGUCCGGGGCCGCACGCGCGCUACACUGGAGAAGUCAGCGUGUGUUAUCCAAGUCCGAAAGGACUGGGUAAUCCGUUGAACCUUCUUCGUGCUUGGGACUGUGGCUUGGAACUAUUCCACAUGAACGAGGAAUUCCUAGUAAUUGCAAGUCAUAAGCUUGCGUUGAUUACGUCCCUGCCCUUUGUAUACACCGCCCGUCGCUACUACCGAUUGAAUGGUUUAGCAAGGUCCUCGGAUCGUGGCCGUAGGGGCACGCAAGUGUUUCUGCGGUUUGCGAGAAGACGACCAAACUUGAUCAUUUAGA